UCGAGACUUGACUUGAACUGCAUGACUCGACAAUGACUUUAAUGUUUUUUAUUAUUAUUAUUUUCAAUAACUUAUUAUAAACACUAAUGAAAUGUGUUUAAAAAAAUAUUGCGACAUCAGUUAAUUCAUAUGCAAAUAUGUAAGCCCGCCAGCACUACUGAUCUGCAUCUGCGCAGUUAACGCUGCGCUCACAACGCGCCGAAAUGACAGAUGAUUGUCGAGUUCCCAAAAUAAUCUCCUUUGGAUAUAAAGAUUACGAAUUGGACCGUGUGAAUAAAAAAAGAUUUGCCAGAUGCACAAUAUGCAACGCAAAAAUAUCCGAUACAACCUCGAAUUUCAUCAGACAUUUCAAAAACCACAAGGAAAGUACUGUGGCUUGACUCGACUUGAAACUCAUCAGGACUCAAAUUGAUUUGCUUGAGUGAAAACACAACACUUGACAUGGCUGAUCAAUCCAACAUAUAUGGCUUGUUCCUUUCUAAUUGAAGCACAUGACGACGACGACGACGACAACGACAACGACAACAACAACAACAACAACAACAACAACAACAGAUGUGCAUUCGAAUCACCCAUACACAUUAAUACUUGCAGAAAUUAACAAUAUAAACACAUAUAUGCAACAUAUGAUUUGUUAUUUUUGUCCAUGCAGAAUUGUCACACAUCUUCAGCCUGUGAGUAAGUGUGUUGGUGUGAGGGUUUUACAGCAUUGUGUUUAUAAGAGCUUGUGUUCUGCACAAGGGUAUCCAGUCUAAUAGAUGUUCUGUGGGUGGGUGGAAGGUCUGAGAUUGCCAUGCAGUAGGUUAGCAUCCUUUUCCCUGCCCCUCUUUCUUCCAUUUUUUUUUCUUCGUCCCUCCUCUCUCUGUCUCUUGGUUCCUGGGGUGUGAUGAUGCUUGCAUUCACAUUUCCCAUCUCUCUUUCAUUUUAUCAUCAGCCACUGUUCUCUAGACCCCAGGAAUCCACUUGUUUCUUUCCAGUUUGAGUCCUUUAUGUGCCAUGCAUCCAUCUUAUAUCAAUACCAUUUUUCCUGCAUCCAUUGCUUUUUCUUCCCUGUCCGGCGAUGUGGUGUCUUCCCUGUCUCAAUGUGUGUGGCUAGAGUCUGUUUCUGUUCCUACUCUUUUUAAUCAGCAUGUUAAUAAGAAAGGUAACUAAUCAAUACGUUCAAUGGCCUGGCGACUGAUACCAUCUCAGCCUUCCUCCUCUCUCUCUUUGACACACACACACACACUUGAGUGAAAGCCGUGACUAACAAACAGAAAAAAAAAAGAUAAAAUUCAGAGAAUACACAAAUACAACAAAAAAGAGGAUGUGUUCACUCAGUAACAAUCCAUUCUUUACUUUCAGUUCAGUCAUUUCCCAAAGUACAAAACAAAUCCUCUGUUUGGUGCUGGGAAGAGAUGUAACAUCUUUAACCCUAAAAAGGUUUUUAGCAGAUUCUUGUGAAGAUAUGGGGUCCCUGCAAAUACUUAGGUAGUGUGACUUUGUAUAUAAAAUCUGCCAUCUUUAUCUAAAUGUAAAAUAGCAGCAUUCAAGCAAGUCAGCUGACCUCUAGGCAAAUGUUUCUAUCUUUACAAUGUUAUUUUCAUGACUUCUACAAGCUGUAAAAUUUCAAAUA